rnacentral:rRNA from 1 species
GAGUUUGAUCUUGGCUCAGGAUGAACGCUGGCGGCGUGCUUAACACAUGCAAGUCGAACGGGAAAUACUUCAUUGAGACUUCGGUGGAUUUGAUUUAUUUCUAGUGGCGGACGGGUGAGUAACGCGUGGGUAACCUGCCUUAUACAGGGGGAUAACAGUCAGAAAUGACUGCUAAUACCGCAUAAGCGCACAGGACCGCAUGGUCCGGUGUGAAAAACUCCGGUGGUAUAAGAUGGACCCGCGUUGGAUUAGCUUGUUGGUGGGUAACGGCCCACCAAGGCGACGAUCCAUAGCCGGCCUGAGAGGGU